AGCGACGUGGCGCAGUGGAAGCGUGUUCGGCUCAUAACCGGAAGGUCGGUGGAUCAAAACCACCCGUCGCUA
rnacentral:tRNA from 1 species